ACCAGACUCCUACGGGAGGCAGCAGUGGGGAAUAUUGCACAAUGGGGGAAACCCUGAUGCAGCAAUGCCGCGUGAGUGAAGAAGUCAUUCGUGAUGUAAAGCUCUAUUAGCAGGGAAGAAAAUGACGGUACCUGAGUAAGAAGCCCCGGCUAACUACGUGCCAGCAGCCGCGGUAAUACGUAGGGGGCAAGCGUUAUCCGGAUUCACUGGGUGUAAAGGGAGCGUAGACGGCGACGCAAGUCUGGAGUGAAAGCCCGGGGCCCAACCCCGGGACUGCUCUGGAAACUGCGUCGCUGGAGUACGGGAGGGGCAGGCGGAAUUCCUGGUGUAGCGGUGAAAUGCGUAGAUAUUAGGAGGAACACCAGUGGCGAAGGCGGUCUGCUGGACAGCAACUGACGCUGAGGCGCGAAAGCGUGGGGAGCAAACAGGAUUAGAUACCCUCGUA
rnacentral:rRNA from 1 species